rnacentral:ncRNA from 2 species
CCGGGUACCCACGGGAGCGCAACCGAAGGCGCUGAGAGGACGGCUGGGGCCGUCGACCGUAUGAACCUGACCGGGUAAUUCCGGCGUAGGAAGAGGAUGUCGAAUGACU